rnacentral:rRNA from 1 species
AGUGAACGCUGGCGGUAGGCCUAACACAUGCAAGUCGAACGGCAGCACAGUAAGAGCUUGCUCUUACGGGUGGCGAGUGGCGGACGGGUGAGGAAUACAUCGGAAUCUACUUUUCGUGGGGGAUAACGUAGGGAAACUUACGCUAAUACCGCAUACGACCUACGGGUGAAAGCAGGGGAUCUUCGGACCUUGCGCGAUUGAAUGAGCCGAUGUCGGAUUAGCUAGUUGGCGGGGUAAAGGCCCACCAAGGCGACGAUCCGUAGCUGGUCUGAGAGGAUUAGCCGUCACACUGGGACUGAGACACGGUCCAGACUCCUACGGGAGGCAGCAGUGGGGAAUAUUGGACGAUGGGCGCAAGCCUGAUCCAGCCAUACCGCGUGGGUGAAGAAGGCCUUCGGGUUGUAAAGCCCUUUUGUUGGGAAAGAAAAGCAGCAGGUUAAUACCCCGCUGUUCUGACGGUACCCAAAGAAUAAGCACCGGCUAACUUCGUG